rnacentral:misc_RNA from 1 species
AAGUCGUAACAAGGUUUCCGUAGGUGAACCUGCGGAAGGAUCAUUACCGAUUUGAGCGAGCCUGGUCUUCUUGAUCAUGGUCUCGCGAAACUUUGUAUUUAAAACCCCACUCUUGUAAUUAUAAAACAAUAUUUUAUAUUAUGAUAAAUAAAGAUCACUUUCAACAACGGAUCUCUUGGCUCUC